AUGGAGAUAAACAAGCUAAGAAGUCGACCAAACAAAAACUAGUAGGAGGGAAACAAUUGCAAAUAUUCAGAGGAGGAAACACAUAUUGCAGAAAUUGUUUGCUGCUAUGCUUCAGUUUUGGACAGAAUUAAAAGAGGGAGACCACUUAAUGG